UGUGCCUACACACCACCCUCGCUCAAAGCGGUGCAGCGCAUUGUGCAGUCCCACCUGGAGAGUGGCCUGGCUGGAGGGGACAGCUCUGAUGGAGAGCCUGAUGAUGGGGACCCCGAGCUGGCCCGCGGCUGCGACCCAGACAGCGCCCUUGAGUCUGCCCUGGGGAGCCAGGCCAGAGCCGAGCGGAGCGUCUUCCCUGCCACCAAGCUACACAAGAGGAAAGGUAAUGGGGACACCACAGGAAGGGGAACAGAGGGGUUGGGAACACUGUGGAGACUGGAGUGGGAAUGGGCCAGGGAUGGUUCCACUCUGGUGUUUGUAACACUGCAUGGAUGGGGACUCUGAGGAUGGGGAUACGCUGGGAUGGGGCCUCCACAGGGAUCGGGCCAGGAAAACUGCAAGGUUGGAGACAUUGUGGUGACGGGAACCCUCUGAGGACGAGGUGAUGGAUGGGGCCACCUCAGGAACGGGGAACCCUGUGGGGACGAUGACACUGUGGAGAUGGAGACUGUGGGAUUGGAGACA
rnacentral:lncRNA from 1 species